rnacentral:rRNA from 1 species
UACAGAGGGGGCAAGCGUUAUUCGGAAUUAUUGGGCGUAAAUGGCGCGUAGGCGGCUUGGCAAGUGGAUGGUGAAAUCCCUCGGCUUAACCGAGGAACUGCCGUCCAAACUGCUUCGCUUGAGACCGGGAGAGGUGAGUGGAAUUCCCAGUGUAGCGGUGAAAUGCGUAGAUAUUGGGAGGAACACCAGUGGCGAAGGCGGCUCACUGGACCGGUACUGACGCUGAUGCGCGAAAGCGUGGGGAGCAAACGGG